rnacentral:rRNA from 1 species
UUAAUUGGGGUGCCAGCUGGCGGAUGUGCUUUAUACAUGCCAGUCAAGGAGAACGCUUUCUUCGGAAAGCAAGUAAACUGGCGAACGGGUUAGUAACGCGUAGGUAACCUGCCCUAGUGACUGGGAUAACUCUGUGAAAACGGGGCUAAUACCGGAUAAUAUCUACUCUCUCUGGAGUUUAGAUCAAAGUAGGCUUCGGCUUACACAUUAGGAUGGGCCUGCGUCUGAUUAGCUUGUUGGUAAGGUAAUGGCUUACCAAGGCUACGAUCAGUAGGUGGUUCGAGAGGAUGAUCACCAACACUGGGACUGAGAUACGGCCCAGACUUCUACGGGAGGCAGCAGUAAGGAAUUUUGCGCAAUGGCCGAAAGGUUGACGCAGCAACGCCGCGUGAUUGAAGAAGGUUUUAGGACUGUAAAGAUCUGUCAUAAGGGAAGAAUUGUAUUUAUUCUAACAAAAUAUUUAUUUGACGGUACCUUAUAAGAAAGCUCCGGCUAACUUCGUGCCAGCAGCCGCGGUAAUACGAGGGGAGCAAGCGUUGUCCGGAUUUAUUGGGCGUAAAGAGUUCGUAGGCUGAUUUAUAAGUCGAAAUUUGAAUCCAAUGGCUUAACCAUUGUCACGGUUUCGAUACUGUAAAUCUUGAAAUAUGCAGAGUAAGUGGAAUUCCUGGUGUAGCCGGUGAAAAUGCGUAGAUAUCAAGGAGGAACACCAAAGGCGAAGGCAACCUUACUGGGCAUUAAUUGACCCU